rfam:Oryza glumipatula chromosome 11, whole genome shotgun sequence.
UUUAAGUGCAAUCAUGAGUUUCUGCGCUCAAUUUUGAUCGUUCGUUUUAUUUGUAAUUUUUUUAUAAUUAGUAUUUUUGUUGUUAUGAGAUGAUAAAAUAUGAAUAGUACUUUACUCGUGACUUAUGGUUUUUAGGAUUUUUGAAAAAAAUUGAAAUAAGACGGGCGAUCAAAGUUAGACGCGUAAAACCAUGGCUAUACUUAAA